UUUGUAUUUUGAGUAGAGAUGGGUUUUCACCGUGUUAGACAGGACGGUCUUGAUCUCCUGACCUCGUGAUCCACCUGCCUGGGCCUCCCAAAGUGCUGGGAUUACAGUCGUGAGCCACGGUGCCCGGCCAAUUUUUAUUUUUUAUAUUUUGAGACAGGGUGUUGGUCUGAUGGAGUGCAGUAGUAUGAUCAUAGCUCACUGCAGCCUUGUCCUCCUGGAUUCAAGUGAUCCCCCUCACCUCAGCCUCCCGAGUAGCUGGAACUACAGGUGUGUGCCACCAUGUCUGGCUAAUUUUUCUGUUUUUUGUAGAGAUGGGAUUUCGUCAUGUUGCCCAGGCUGGUCUCGAACUCCUGAGCUCGAGCAAUCUGCCCACCUCGGCCUCCUGAAGUGCUGGGAUUGUAGGCAUGAGCCACCGCGCAUGGCCUGAAGUUCUUAUUCUGACAGAGGACGGACAGAAGGAGCAAGGGGAGCCCCUAGGAAACAAACAAUGCCAGUGUUCGCUGGGUUGCUUUGAACACCCCUGCUCAGACUGAAUGGGAAUACUGAUAAACACGAAAACAUGCUCAACUUCUCUAAUAAUCAAAGAAAUACAUAUUAAAAUGAGAUGCCACUGUUUCUUCUAUCACUGGGACUGAAAUGGAAAGUAUUCAUCAUAUCCUUUGCUGGUGAGAAAGCCGGACGAAGAAAGAUCAGAGAGAGCGCCACCCCCAUUCCCCACAGCGUUCCAGCUCUGGCCCUGCUCUGUGGCUGCCCCUCAAGCCUGAAAAUCACCUCAUAUUCUUACAAUAAAUCCC
rnacentral:lncRNA from 1 species